rnacentral:rRNA from 1 species
GACGAACGCUGGCGGCGUGCUUAACACAUGCAAGUCGAACGGAAAGGCCCUGCUUUUGUGGGGUGCUCGAGUGGCGAACGGGUGAGUAACACGUGAGUAACCUGCCCUUGACUUUGGGAUAACUUCAGGAAGCUGGGGCUAAUACCGGAUAGGAGCUCCUGCUGCAUGGUGGGGGUUGGAAAGUUUCGGCGGUUGGGGAUGGACUCGCGGCUUAUCAGCUUGUUGGUGGGGUAGUGGCUUACCAAGGCUUUGACGGGUAGCCGGCCUGAGAGGGUGACCGGCCACAUUGGGACUGAGAUACGGCCCAGACUCCUACGGGAGGCAGCAGUGGGGAAUAUUGCACAAUGGGCGGAAGCCUGAUGCAGCAACGCCGCGUGCGGGAUGACGGCCUUCGGGUUGUAAACCGCUUUCGCCUGUGACGAAGCGUGAGUGACGGUAAUGGGUAAAGAAGCACCGGCUAACUAC